GGACCGAGUUAGUAUGAGUAAUAGACUUAGGAAGAGUAUUACCUCUGAAAAAUUCUUGAACAAUAUUAAAAACAUCAUUACCUACUACAUUCCAGCAAUUCUAAUAAAAUCUGCCUAUCAAUCCAUAUUAUCCCCAUUUAAGUUAAAAAUUGCAUUUUAAACUUAAAUGGGGAUAGAUGGGUCAUUUUUAACUUCUUCCAUGGUAGGUUGCCGACAGAGAGAAAAAUUAUCCUCCAUAUUAAUAAGCUUGGGAAUAUGCCUUAGCAAAGGGAAAGUCAUAGCAUCUCUUUCCUACAUGAACUGAUUAUUAUGAAAAUUGAUAGCCUCUGUAACUAUUUCACCCUCUUCCUCUAACCAACCCUGAGUAUUUUGAAUUCUAUUCAGAUGCAACCUCUUCCUCCUCCCCUUUACAAUACUGUGAAAGAAUCUGGUAUUUCUGUCACCAUUUUCAAACCAAUCAUAUCCUGCUUUCUGCUACCAAAAGAUUUCUUCAAAGUGAAGAUAUCUUUUAACUUCUGCCUGGGCUCUUUGUAACUUUUCUCUAUUAUCAGUAGUGGUACUUCUUCAAACAGUUUCUCUUUAAUCUUGACAAUAUCUUCCCUGAUUAUUAAUUGCUUGAAGAUGUCUCCAUAAGUUUCCUUACUCCACGCAGUCAAAGCAGACUUCACAUUCUUGAUGCUAUCCUUAAACUCCAAAAAAGGGUUUUGGGACCAUUUGAACACCAGUUCUGUCUUACCACCUCAAUAAAAAAAGGGUUCUCAGUCCAGAAUUUGAAAAACCUAAAAGGUUUCUUAUGUCUGGACAAUCUGUCUUCACAAGUAAGAAACAUUAGAGCAUGAUCUGAACCUGUUCUAGAAAGAUGUUCCACCUCUAUAUGAUAAAACUUUUCUUAUAUCACAUGAUUGACAAGAAUUCUACCAACCUUUCAAAAAUGCAGUCAUUGCCUGCUCUACCAUUCCACUAGGUGAAAGGGCUCCCUUUAAAAAGAAGUUCAGCAAGAUCACAAGAGGAAAUACAUGUUUCAAAAUCUUCAUGUUCAUCAUCAAAGACUGGUAGUUCGGUUUCUGCAAGGUUAAUUACUCCAUUUUGUUUUCCAAAUGCUCUAGUGAUCCAUUCCUUUGAAGAUUCUCCAUGUUGCUGCUGAUUUAUUUCAAUAUGACCUUUGUUUAUAUUGUUGUUGUUAUCCUUAACACUGCCUGUGGAAGCCAUAAGAUUAGACUCAAUAUUGUUGUGUCUGCCAGUUGCUUCAUGUGUUGAAAAAUUCUCUACAAGUGCAACAAGUUUGUUUUCCAACAACGAGAGAGGUCAGGUGAUUGGAAACUUUUGCUUCGUAA